UCAAACCUGAGUCCUUCAUCUCCUGCGUUGGCAGGCAGGUUCUUUACCAACAGCACCACCUGGGAAGCCAAAUAUCCAGUCAGGUACACUUAACUUCAAAACUGCUAUGAAUGACUAUUGGUGAUGAAGAAGAAUAAGAUCACACCUCUCCUAGUUCAGCUCCUGGGAAUGAAUUAUGACAGCUAGAUUAGCAGAGUUUGAAGAUAUACUAUGGCAUUACCUGAGGCAGAGUUCCUUGACAGCAACCUGGGUGCUUGCAAAGUUUACCCAAACCAUGGUGCUCUCCUAUCACUGGAUUCCUUUAUGCUUAGAGAAGGGACAUCUCACAGAAACAGCAACUUUACCUUGCAGUUGCUAAAUGCCACAUAAACUCUCAGCAGGAAACACUCAUUGAAUAUGUUCAGGGGGAAAAAAGUGAAUUCACCUCAUCAAGGUUAAAAUCUCAAGCCAAACCAGAUUUCAGGAAUACCCAGCCGGCGAGAGAUUCAUUUAACAAUGAGGCCAGCCAGCCACCUAGCUCAGGUUUUAUUUCCGUCGUCGUUCUGACGUCAGAAAAAGCACGAGUUGCCGCAGUUUCUUCUAUCAAGGUGACAAAUUACAGUCUUGUUGGGCCCUGGAGUCUGCAAACGAUGGAUUUAUUUUCUCCUUCCCCUUAUAUUAAAAAGUCUUAGACCCACGGCAGAGAUGUCAGAUCCUUUUCCAAACGCAAAUAAAUACGGUUUCCUAGCG